AUUGAACGCUGGCGGCAGGCCUAACACAUGCAAGUCGAACGGUAACAGGAAGACGCUUGCUUCUUUGCUGACGAGUGGCGGACGGGUGAGUAAUGUCUGGGAAACUGCCUGAUGGAGGGGGAUAACUACUGGAAACGGUAGCUAAUACCGCAUAACGUCGCAAGACCAAAGAGGGGGACCUUCGGGCCUCUUGCCAUCGGAUGUGCCCAGAUGGGAUUAGCUAGUAGGUGGGGUAACGGCUCACCUAGGCGACGAUCCCUAGCUGGUCUGAGAGGAUGACCAGCCACACUGGAACUGAGACACGGUCCAGACUCCUACGGGAGGCAGCAGUGGGGAAUAUUGCACAAUGGGCGCAAGCCUGAUGCAGCCAUGCCGCGUGUAUGAAGAAGGCCUUCGGGUUGUAAAGUACUUUCAGCGGGGAGGAAGGGAGUAAAGUUAAUACCCUUGCUCAUUGACGUUACCCGCAGAAGAAGCACCGGCUAACUCCGUG
rnacentral:rRNA from 1 species